rnacentral:ncRNA from 1 species
AAUAAAAUUCUUUAUGGUUUAGUAAUUUAUUAUAAAUUUAUUUUACAUAUAAAUUUUAGUGUUAAAUAUUAAUUAUUUAAAUAAUAAUUAUUUAUUUUGUAGUAAUUAAUAUUAAAAUAUUUAAGAAAUUAAGAUUUAGUAAUAUUUAAAUUAAUAACAAAUUUUGUGCCAGCAGUUGCGGUUAAACAAAAAUUAAAUUAAAUUUUAUUAGUAAUUAAUUAAUAAAUAUUUUUAUAAUAAAAAUUUUAAAUUAUUAGGUGAAAUUUUAAUUUAAUUAAAUUUUAUAUUUAAAUUUAUGAUUUAAUAAAUUUUAAAAAAAACUAGGAUUAGAUACCCUAUUAUUAAAAUUUAAAUUUAUAAUACUAAAAUAGUAAUUAAUUAUUUAUUGAAACUUAAAUAAUUUGGCGGUAUUUUAGUUCAUUUAGAGGAAUCUGUUUAAUAAUUGAUAAUCCACGAAUAAAUUUACUUAAUUUAAUAUUUUGUAUAUCGUUGUUAAAAAAAUAUUUUUAAAAAAAAUUAAUAUUUAAAAAUUUUGAAUUAAUUUAAAUCAGAUCAAGAUGCAGAUUAUAAUUAAGAAUAUAAUGGAUUACAAUAAAUUUAUUUAUACCAAUAUUAAUUUGUAACAAUUAAUUGAGGGUGGAUUUAAAUGUAAUUUUAUUUAAUUUAUUAAAAUGAUUAAAAAUUAAAAUAUGUACAUAUUGCCCGUCACUUUCAUAUAAUUAUAAUUUAAUUAUAAUAAAUUGAAAUAAGUCGUAACAAAGUAGAGGUACUGGAAAGUGUUUCUAGAAAGAA